rfam:Felis catus isolate Cinnamon breed Abyssinian chromosome D2, whole genome shotgun sequence.
GCCUGGGUGGCUCAGUCGGUUGAGCGUCCGACUUCGGCUCAGGUCAUGAUCUCGCGGUUUGUGAGUUCAAACCCCGCGUCGGGCU